rnacentral:tRNA from 1 species
GCGAGAGUGGCGGAACCGGGAGACGCGCCGGACUUAGGAUCCGGUGGCCGGAAGGCCGUGGGGGUUCGAGUCCCCCCUCUCGCAC